GAGGGUAUAGUUCAAGUGGUAGAGUGUGUGCUUAGCAUGCACGAGGUCCUGGGUUCAGUUCCCAGUACCCCCU
rnacentral:tRNA from 1 species